rnacentral:misc_RNA from 1 species
AAGACUAUAGACCUGCGGAGUACCUGCGGAGGGAUCAUUAUUGAUUUUAACAGGAUGUGCUGGCUCUCAAUGGGGCAAUGUGCACUUCUAAUAAAACCAAUAUCCACCUGUGCACCUUAAGUAGACUGGUAGGACUCAUCACAGUCUUUCUAGUCUAUGUUCCUUUACAAACCUUUUUUGAAAUGUAAAUGAAUGAUCAUUUAUAUAAUUAAUAACAACUUUUAACAAUGGAUCUCUAGA